CUCUCUGCCCAGAUGCGCGACCUGCGCAUCGCCUCUCUCUCUGUGCCCAGAUGCGCAACCUGACCGAUUUUUAUGGUACUGAUUCAGUUGGAUUGCGCAUUAAGAAGCAGAAAUGGCUAGUUUCAGACUGCCCAGUUGGAUUGAUUUUAAAUGUCCAAUAUCGAUCCCCUUUACAACUCGAGUAUGCUUCUCCAAAGUGAUGGAGGCGAUUUAAGGUUUCUGAUAGUUCGUGGUUCUGGCUGGGAUUGAAGAGGCAAUGUUUGGAUUUAAUAAUUUUAUUUGUUUUUUCUUGUUGUAUUGUUCAUACUUUCUGGAUUUGUAGUCAUAUUUUUUUUUUUUACUGUUAUUGUAUUUUGUUUAUGUAUUUUAUUUAAAUUAUACUUUGUAUUUUUUUAAUCACUUAUUCUAUAUUACUGCUAUUAAUUAUAAUAUAAUUAUUUUAAAUCUGAAUGUA